AAUAUUUGACAAUGGGGGCAACCCUGAUCCAGCCAUGCCGCGUGUGUGAAAACGGUCUUCGGUUUGUAAAGCACUUUAAGUUGGGCGGAAGGGUUUUAGGCUAUUCCCUGAAGUUCUGACUUUAUCAACAGAAUAAGACCCGGCUAACUCUGUCCCAGCAGCCGCGGUAAUUCAGAGGGUGCAAGCGUUAAGCGGAAUUACUGGGCGUAAAGCGCGCGUAGGUGGUUCAGUAAGAUGGGUGUGAAAGCCACGGGCUUAACCGAGGAACUGCUUUCAUAACUGCUGAACUAGAGUACGGUAGAGGGUAGUGGAAUUUCAUGUGUAGCGGGGAAAUGCGUAGAUAUAGGAAGGAACACCAGUGGCGAAGGCGACUACCUGGACUGAUACUGACACUGAGGUGCGAAAGCGUGGGGAGCAAAC
rnacentral:rRNA from 1 species